rnacentral:rRNA from 1 species
AUACGUAGGUGGCAAGCGUUGUCCGGAUUUACUGGGUGUAAAGGGCGCGUAGGCGGAUGUACAAGUCAGAUGUGAAAUACCGCAGCUUAACUGCGGGGCUGCAUUUGAAACUGUACAUCUUGAGUGCGGGAGAGGUAAGCGGAAUUCCGAGUGUAGCGGUAAAAUGCAUAGAUAUUCGGAGGAACACCAGUGGCGAAGGCGGCUUACUGGACCGUAACUGACGCUGAAGCACGAAAGCGUGGGGAUCAAACAGGAUUAGAUACCCUGGUAGUCCACGCUGUAAACGAUGGAUACUAGGUGUAGGGGGUAUCAACUCCCCCUGUGCCGCAGUUAACACAAUAAGUAUCCCACCUGGGGAGUACGGCCGCAAGGUUGAAACUUAAAGGAAUUGACGGGG